ACAUGAAAGGACACUGAUGUCCACUGCUCAUCCAGAAGGGAGAGCUUCACAUCUGAAAUGCAGAGGCAAUAGUAGAUUCUCUCUCUCCUGUGGAUUCUUCUUCCUUGGUGGUUCCAUGACUGUCACUAGAGGUUGGGUCGGGUUACCGGAGAAGGACUGCAAGGUUUUCAUCUUGCUUGAUGAAAAAGAUUGAACACGGGAGGAAUGAAAACCUCAGUGGUUUUUCAAAGAG
rnacentral:lncRNA from 1 species